rnacentral:rRNA from 1 species
GCAUUGCCGGGUAGCUAAGUGCGGAAGAGAUAAGUGCUGAAAGCAUCUAAGCACGAAACUUGCCAAGAGAUGAGUUCUCCCAAUCUAAGAGAUUGUAAGGGUUGUUGUAGACUACGACGUAGAUAGGUCUGGUGUGUAAGUGUAGUGAUGCAUUGAGCUAACAGAUACUAAUUGCCCGAGAGGCUUAACUAUACAACGC